UAACCUUGACUGUCCGAUGGUGGUGAGCAGGGAGCAGGGUGGAGCAGGAAUUGUGUCGUUAAUGUUUGCAGGGUGAUCAGAGACUGUAAUGUCAGAUGACUCCAGAACAGGGACUAAAAGAAGGUGGACAAUGAGCCAAGCGAGAAGGGAUUUCCAGGGGAAAAUAUGAAUGUAGUCUUCACUACCACAAAUUAUGCAAUUAAUGUUUCCCAUAUUUGGGGAAAUCAUGGGAUCAGUACAGAGUGGAUGAACCUCAGCCUGUGAAAACCUCCUCCUUGAUCUUGGCAUCUUUCCUGCCAGUCUCGGCUGUCCUGGAACUCGCUCUACCAGACUGGCUUUGAACUCACAGAAAUCCACCCGUCUCUGCCUCCCCGAGUGCUGGGAUUAAUGGUGUGCACCACCACCGCCCAGCUGUGGCACGUCUUUUAUCUUUACAAAAUAGGAUCCUGCUAAAUGCCCUGCAAUAAUUGAUUCCUGAGCCACUAGGACCUGGU